GGGUUGUGAGGUUAAGCGACCAAGCGUACACGGUGGAUGCCCUGGCAGUCAGAGGCGAUGAAGGACGUGCUAAUCUGCGAAAAGCGCCGGUAAGGUGAUAUGAACCGUUAUAACCGGCGAUGUCCGAAUGGGGAAACCCAGUGUGAUUCGUCACACUAUCAUUAACUGAAUCCAUAGGUUAAUGAGGCGAACCGGGGGAACUGAAACAUCUAAGUACCCCGAGGAAAAGAAAUCAACCGAGAUUCCCCCAGUAGCGGCGAGCGAACGGGGAGGAGCCCAGAGCCUGAAUCAGCAUGUGUGUUAGUGGAAGCGUCUGGAAAGGCGCGCGAUACAGGGUGAGAGCCCCGUACACAAAAGCGCACGUGCUGUGAGCUCGAUGAGUAGGGCGGGACACGUGGUAUCCUGUCUGAAUAUGGGGGGACCAUCCUCCAAGGCUAAAUACUCCUGACUGACCGAUAGUGAACCAGUACCGUGAGGGAAAGGCGAAAAGAACCCCGGCGAGGGGAGUGAAACAGAACCUGAAACCGUGUACGUACAAGCAGUGGGAGCCCCACCACCAAAGCGUUUCGCUUUGCGUGGUGCGCAAAAUGCGUAACGACAGCACGAUUGCGGUUAACGGAGCGUAAGCGACGUUCAACACAAAAAUCAGGCAGUGGAGCGUUUUGGGGUGGGGUGACUGCGUACCUUUUGUAUAAUGGGUCAGCGACUUAUAUUCUGUAGCAAGGUUAACCGCAUAGGGGAGCCGGAGGGAAACCGAGUCUUAAUUGGGCGUUAAGUUGCAGGGUAUAGACCCGAAACCCGGUGAUCUAGCCAUGGGCAGGUUGAAGGUUGGGUAACACUAACUGGAGGACCGAACCGACUAAUGUUGAAAAAUUAGCGGAUGACCUGUGGCUGGGGGUGAAAGGCCAAUCAAACCGGGAGAUAGCUGGUUCUCCCCGAAAGCUAUUUAGGUAGCGCCUCGUGAAUUCAUCUCCGGGGGUAGAGCACUGUUUCGGCCAGGGGGCCAUCCCGGCUUACCAAUCCGAUGCAAACUGCGAAUACCGGAGAAUGUUAUCACGGGAGACACACGGCGGGUGCUAACGUCCGUCGUGAAGAGGGAAACAACCCAGACCGCCAGCUAAGGUCCCAAAGUCAUGGUUAAGUGGGAAACGAUGUGGGAAGGCCCAGACAGCCAGGAUGUUGGCUUAGAAGCAGCCAUCAUUUAAAGAAAGCGUAAUAGCUCACUGGUCGAGUCGGCCUGCGCGGAAGAUGUAACGGGGCUAAACCAUGCACCGAAGCUGCGGCAGCGACACUGAUGUGUUGUUGGGUAGGGGAGCGUUCUGUAAGCCGUUGAAGGUGUGUCGUGAGGCAUGCUGGAGGUAUCAGAAGUGCGAAUGCUGACAUAAGUAACGAUAAAGCGGGUGAAAAGCCCGCUCGCCGGAAGACCAAGGGUUCCUGUCCAACGUUAAUCGGGGCAGGGUGAGUCGACCCCUAAGGCGAGGCCGAAAGGCGUAGUCGAUGGGAAACGGGUUAAUAUUCCCGUACUUGGUGUUACUGCGAAGGGGGGACGGAGAAGGCUAUGUUGGCCGGGCGACGGUUGUCCCGGUUUAAGCGUGUAGGUGUGUGUUCCAGGUAAAUCCGGUUCACUUUAACACUGAGGCGUGACGACGAGGCACUACGGUGCUGAAGC
rnacentral:rRNA from 1 species